AUCUUGUUUAUCGCUUAUUAUACAAAAGAACAUGUGCAAUAAAUAAACAAAAUUUAUGUUCCUAGUUACUAUAAGAAAUGCUUCAUUAUAUGAGAAAACGAUUGAUUCAAUAAUACUAUCAUAAACAAUAAAAGAGAGCAAUAAUUUUUCUAAUAAUAUCGUGACCAAAAAUAAAUACGAAUCACUGUAUCUUGGCAUCGAAGCACGAUCGAGCCUGGCAUGUAAGUGUGUUUCAACCCUAACCCGGUUAAGCAAAGCAGGUUACAGUAACCACAGCAACUCGCGGGAGAACGGUUCCUAAGUUGUCCACAAUGCGGGUUAACCCGUUAAGAGUGGGUAACAUAACCCAAUACGUAACCCAGUUACUUCAGAAAGGUUACAAGAGCCGGUUAUUAGUUAUGGGGUAAAACUACGAAAAGAAUUGUUGAAUCCGCUAACUUUUUUACUUUCAUUAGUGUUCGGGAUUAGACGUCGCUAGUCGCGGUUGCCUUGCGACGCAAAAUUCAGUAAACAAUACAUGUAAACACUGCCAUACGCCGUGUAGAGACAGAGACGGCCAUCUCUGAGCGAGCACCAAAGGUAACCAAAACCGCUAAAUAAUCCUCGUUUCCAGGUGUCUAUUGUUGCUCGCUCGGAGAUCGGCAGCCCUUCUUUCGAGCAACUAACGUUCAGCUAUACUAACUACAUAUUUAAUUUACCGUACUCGUGCCGAGUUUUUUACCGUUCUUCACGCGAAUUAAUGUACUUUGCUGUUCGUGUUAGCACUACUGUGCUCGAGUCAAUUAUAUCAGCAAUACUUGUGUUAUAAGAGAUCGAAGGGAGUGUAAAUAUUACUCGUGUAUUUAUUAAAUGUAAUUUUUCUCAUUACACGAAUGAUUAUAUUAUACAAAAUACAUGUUCCUAUUUCUGAA